GAAGAGAUGGUUGAGUAGUUGAUAGCUCUGGUCUUGAAAACCGGCAUAGUCCUUUGGUCAGAGCUAUCGAGGGUUUGAAUCUAUUUCUCUCCU
rfam:Beta vulgaris subsp. vulgaris chromosome 2, whole genome shotgun sequence.